rnacentral:rRNA from 1 species
AUACGUAGGGGGCGAGCGUUGUCCGGAAUGACUGGGCGUAAAGGGCGUGUAGGCGGCGGUGUAAGUCGGGAGUGAAAGCCCCGCAUUCAAUGUGGGAAUUGCUUUGGAUACUGCAGUGCUAGAGUGCGGAAGAGGUAAGUGGAAUUCCCAGUGUAGCGGUGAAAUGCGUAGAGAUUGGGAGGAACACCAGUGGCGAAGGCGUCCUACGAGGCCGAAACCGGAGGCGAGUCGCUGAAGGGUUGGGAGAGAACAGGAUUUGAAUACCCGGGAGGCCACGCGGUAAACGAUGAAUGCUAGGGGUUGGGGGUAUCGGCGCCUUCAGUGCCGGACUAACCCGAAUAGGGAUUCGCCCUGGGGGGUACGGCGGAAAGGUAGAACUUCAAGGGAAUUGCGGGG